rnacentral:misc_RNA from 1 species
GCUUUUCGCAGUGGCGGCGCGGGUACGCUUGCACCUACGGAACAACGGCGCAGCGCGGUGCCCCGUCUGAGUGCACGUGUACCCGGACGGCCCUGCGAACGGAGAGGAGGUAAGGAGAAGGGAGAACGAGAUGGAGAAGGGCGGGUUUACAGUUCGGAGUCUGGAACGUGCGUUUGACUCAGCCGACUGCUGCUGCCUGCGACGCUGUGUGCGACGCGUCAGCGCCCGCGCUUCCGCUGCCCUGUACUAGUAACACAACAGCCGGUGUGGCGGCAGCAACGCAUUGCGUCAGACUUGGCCGAGCGCUAAGAAGUUCUCCGGAGUUUCGCAAGGCAGGGGGGAGUGAGGCGCUAUCCAAACAUUUGCGACAGAAAGGCUCAGCUGACAGCACGCGCUCGCUGAUUGACGUGCCCGGCGACGCGCGUCUCCCCGCGCUACGCGACAGUACACCUGCUCCUACGCUUCGCGGCGUGAAGUUCGUCCCCAAGGCUGCUGCUACUGUUGCAUCUAGACGAAAGACGCAGUUUGCUGCAAUACAUCGGACCAGCUGGGCGCGACGUUCAAAGCGUCAGUGACCAGACAAUAGACUCUGCAAGCCGCCCUUAACCUUUGUUUCUUUGUGCCCCCAUCUUUGUUUUUCUUUUCUUACGCUUUGGCUUCCGGUAUUUAACACGGCCUUCGUCCGUAAGAAAUCUACAUAAGGUGGAAAGCCUUGCAGCCGUUGUCGUUUGCGAAGAACGCGUGUCGAACUCUGCAACCGGUGAGGGGCGCAGCGUGCUGUUUUCGCUACCUGCCAAGACCGGUGAUUAUGACGGUGGCGUGCGCGCGCGCGUUCCGGAAGUGAUUCUAGCGACGUCCGACAUUGCCUCCCCGCAGGGAAGACCUACCUCCACGCCGUGUACAGCCGUUCGCGACCAGCGAUGCCGGGAUCGCGGGAAGAAAACGGCAUCCCUCUCCUUCGCUCGGAUAGUGGCCUCAACGGACACGCGACGCGGAACGACAUCGGGUCACCGCCGUCAGCAACAGCCCUACGCGGACACAGGCCCAGGUCGAGUGACGCCGGCAACCCCUAUGUCGGCUCCAAGCUGGCUCUCUCAAACGAGUCUGAAGAAGAGAAGCUACGGCGCACAGCAGUGGCAUUAUCAGAUAAGGAGUCACUCGACGAGUCACAGCUGCUGCCGCAGGAGUUUGUGGUGUCCUUCCAGAAUGGGGGUAGCCCAGUGGUUGACAUUGAGAAUGGUGCAGCACGAUCCAGUGAUGUAUUCCGGCAGUCCCGGUGUAAUGCUGUCUACCUUGACUGGAGGAACAUCACAUACACGGUGCCUGUCAAGAAGAAAGAAAAAAAGGCCCUCAUCAGCCGCAUGUAUGGCAGGGCAGAACCAGGCACAUUGACGGCUAUCAUGGGCCCCUCGGGUGCUGGCAAGACUACGCUGAUGAAUGUCCUCUCUGGCCACUAUGACAAGGGCUACCAGGGGGAAGUGCAAGUCAAUGGCUGGGUGCGGGACACAGAGCUCUUCAACCAGCAAAGCUGCUACGUCAUGCAGGACGACUGCCUGCUCCCCGAACUUACAGUGCGCGAGGCACUCACCGUGGGUGUCCAGCUGCGUAUGCCGUCCCUCAACCGCUCCAAGCGUGAGCAGCUGGUGGACGAAGCAGUGACGCGAUGGGGUCUGGACGUAUGUCAGAACACGCGUACCAGCUGCCUCUCAGGUGGUCAGCGCAAGCGGCUAGCAAUCUCCCAGGAGCUGAUCAGCAACCCUCCAGUCAUCUUCCUCGACGAGCCUACCAGUGGCCUGGACAGUACUUCUGCACUCCGCUGCGUGAAGGUGAUGAAGACAUUGGCGGCAGCAGGCCACACGGUGCUCUGCUCCAUACACAAUCCGAGUGCCAAGCUAUUCUCACACUUUGAUAGGCUCUACAUGAUUUCAGAAGGGAUGUGCAUCUACAAUGGACCAGUGGACAAGCUGCUUAACUUUCUGUCCACGCAGAACCUGCACUGCCCCAUUUACCACAACCCAGCAGACUUUAUCACUGAAAUUGCAUCUGGAGAGUAUGGCAACCUGAACAAGCAGUUGGCAAAAUCAUUCACACCAGACUCUUCAGAGGAAGUCAAUGAAAAGAAGCUGGACCAUCCUGUACUCACAGAGUAUGGAGGCAAGAUCAUGAACAAGAAGGAAAAAGCCGAAGAGAUGGAGUUGCACCGAAUGCACGUCAACUACUUCCACCAGUUCAUCGUGCUUGUCAAGCGGUGCUUCUUGUGUGUCAUCAGAAACAAGGUUGCCACGCUGCUACGCCUGGUGGCAUACAUUUUCAUAGCGGGCAUGCUGACAGUGCUAUUCUAUGACGUGGGCAACAGCGCCACCCGCGUAAUGAGCAACUCUGCCCUUUUCCUGCUCUGUCUCACCAUGGCCCUGUUCCAGUCGGCCAUGCCAACCGUCCUCAUCUUUCCAACUGAGUUAAGUGUGCUGCUCAGAGAGCACAGAAACUGUUGGUACAGCCCAUUCAUGUACUACAUUGCCCGGAUAAUUACGGAGCUUCCUUUUACGAUCUUUGGCCCGCUUGCCAUGAUGUCCUUGCUCUACUGGACGACAGGACAGCCACAAGAGAUGUGGCGUGCUGCAACUGUGGUCAUGUUUGUCAUCCAAGUGGGCUCUGUGUCCCAGGGGCUGGCUCUUGUGGUCUCGGCACUGAGCAGCAUACAGACAGCUGUGUUCCUGGUGCUGCCUGUGGCGUCACCAUCGUUCCUUUUCUCUGGCUUCUUCGUGCAAGCGCAGCAUAUUCAUGUGGCCUUCCGCUGGAUUAUGGAGACUUCACACUUAUACCAUGGCAUGCAGGGGCUUCUGGAGGCCCUGUAUGGCCGUGGGCGUCCCGAGCUCGACUGUGAGGAGCAUGAGCUCUGCUUCCUCAGUGACCCCGAGGAGGUCCUCAGGCAUCUGGACGUCAAGAAUGUUGACAUCUCCCACAAGUUCCUCAUUCUCAUCGCCAUGGACCUCUUCUAUCGGCUUGCCGCAUUCAUCAUUCUCAAGUGGCGCCUGCGAAGGAAGCGCUAGUAGUCGGACUAAGGUGACUCAUCAUAUACUCAUUGUCCAUCAGCUUCUCUGUUAAGCACAAUCUGUAAAUCUGUUUAAAAGUGCUGAGCGCCGGGAGACUAGGCUGUUUUAUUGUCAGCUCGUUAUGUCUCAUGCUUCGCAGUGGCUACCUCUGUCUGCCUCUACAGUUUAACAGAAGCUUACUGAAUCUAGCACAUGGCUGAAAUUUGGCCGCACCUCUGAGCCACUUACUAUGGGGGGCUGCAUUCAGGAAUGAUCACUUUUGGUGGUACAUUCUCUGCACUUCUUUCAUGGCAAUACUUUGCCGUGAUACGCUCAUAAGGUUUUUACCAGAGUUCUAAUAGUGCAAGCUUAACAAACUUUCUGUUAAGCCAAGCUGCCAUUAACAUAUGAGCAAAAUUUAUGCUUCUACACACAUCAGCCGAUGUACAGUAUCGCUCAAAAGGUGGCAUGUCCUAUUCUGCAGCUAUUUCACAUAAUGCCCAUCAUUCUUCAUUGACAGUGUUGCAUUAUUGUGACAAGCUUUUCCCCAAGUGUUUGUACGACGACAUAUCGGUGGGCAGAACAUUGCUCCCACUUAUGGUGGGUUGCAUCUUCCAUUAUACAAAAGGCAGUGAAAGUAACAUGAAAGCCUAAAUUUUCCGCUGAUUGGGAGCAACUUUUAGCUCUUCAUAACACCGGAGAGGCACAAAACACACACACGCAUGCACACACAAACACACGCACGCACACACACACACACACACACACACACACACACACACACUCCUCACCGCACCUAAGACAUUUUGCAACUUUAUUAAAAUUAUGAGAACUGAGCUUUCUUAACUGCAUUUUCUUUUCUCUUUUACUUCCCUUCCAGCAAUACUUUCACUUUUGCAUGACAUGCUAACAUUUGUCAGGUCUCCUCAGUCUCCUUAAUGUGAUAUUUCCAUUAAGGCAUUUCCUUAAUGUGAUAUUUCUAUUGCCAGCCCUGUUGUUUCAGUGUAGUUUCCGAUGAUGCAAGAGGAGACUAACUCUAGCACGAAGUGUGCCUCGGUGUGCACAAAUUUGCAAUUCCUAGAACCUCUGACUUAGCCUCUCGGCAUACUCUGCAAAAGUUGCAUCCCCAAAAGUGAUCAUUCCAGUAUGACGUGAGUCCUUACCUCUCACGCGUUUUUGCAUCUAAGGCAGUGUAUCUCUCGAAGCGCAAAACUUGCUCUUGUUGUGCCAGGUUUCACUAUGAUUCUUCAGCGCUACGAUCAGAUUCACCUUUCGCCUGAUGGCACUUUUUUUAUUCGUGAGACGAGAGAUGCAGUGCUUUGAAUGUGAAGUGCCUUGGUGUGUGGUUCUUGUGUCAUUGGUUGUGUUGAAUGGACUCCACUCUUCCAUUUGCUGCAGUUUGAUUGUCCUAUGAGGCACCUGCGCAGAAAGCACUGGGACACUGUGAGCUGUGUCCUGAACUGUACCUGCUACGUACCUGCGUUUCUCUGCCACAGUUCUGGCUAUCUAUUUCCCCAGUUCCAACGUGUGCUUGUUAAUAUAAAACACACAAACUCAGCUACUUCUUGGUCUUCAGUUCCAGUGCAAUAUCUUAUUGUUGCGCACUUCUGGCAAAAGUUGGGCUUGAUCCUCUUAUCCUUCUUGAAGCAUUCUGUACGUGUUCCAAUCAUUUGAGGCUUUGUUCUUUUAGAAAUGUUAGUGCGUCAAUUUCGGAAUCCAGAUGACUUCUUUGUGAAUGAUAAAGAAAACUUAAAGGGACUGUCUACAUGUUUUUCAAGGACAUUCUCUUUUGCAGCGCAAUAGAAGGCCUACCAUUCAAAGUGUCUAGAUGUGCUGUGAUUUCUAUAGAAGAAGAAAUGAGUAGAAAAUUUUUAAAAAAUGUUUCAAUGUGCAUAGUCUCUUCUUGAAACUGUGUACAGAUGUCGACAACACGGAUUACUGGACGCGAUGGCAAUCUCGGGGGGGGGGGGGGGGGGGGUCAUGCAUCAAUGCACUACUCCGUUCACCAGGACUCUGUUCGUUUGCCAUAAGGCAGUGCGCCACUCUUCGACAUGCACUAGCUGGAACCAAAAUGAAUCAUUCUCUCUCUCAAACUAAAGUUAGCAUAAAAUACAAUUUCAGGCAAUGCAAUAUUGUUUACAGGCAAUAUAACUCUCCCUUUACGGCUUUUUGCUACAUGACAGUACGCAGAUUGGUUGCACUGUUUUACCAUCAAGCGACGUCACGUCAUUUUUACACCACUUUCAGAGCCAAAUUAAAAAUGUAAUUUCUUGUUUAUGGGAUACAAGCAUGCUCGUUUCCAUCAAUAUGACACACAAUCUUCUCAUUCCCACCACAAUCCAAAGACAUGUUCCGAGCGGUAGACAGUUCCUUUAAGGAAUUAAAGGAAUGCAUGUAGAAGUUUUUCAAUAGGGCGCCAGGAAAAAAGGCUGUUCUUUAGUUAUUUUCGUCUGUCUAUACAACUGUUUCCAAUUAAGCAGGAUAGUAUCAUGAUAGAUAAACAUUGCACCCCUCUGGUAAUCGUUUCAUGUUUUGACUGCUCAAGGGCAAGGUAAAAUAGUACUGUAAUUGCUUUGUACUUAAAGCUCUGAUUAAGCCACCUUUUUUGGUUGUCAGGCCAUUCUGACUGCUCAGCAAGAUGCAGUAUUUCAUGCUACAGUUAGGUAACCAUGACAUCUCUUAUACUGUCCUUUCAGAUGCUCCAAGGGUGUGAUGAGGGCAAAUUGGGAUGAAAAGUGUGUACAUUUCAGCUUUGCUGGUUGAAGAUACUGACGAUACCUUAAGCGGCAUGCAGUUCUUUCUCUCUUUAACUCGAGAACCAUACGUCAUUAGUAUAUGAGCACUUAAGAGUUGCUCAGUUAUUCUGAUAUAUUGGCCCCUUCAUGUGGGCAUCUCAUGGCCACUUUGAAGCAGAGGAGAAAUAAGCUUUUAAGGGAGCUUUAAGUCAAAAGUUUUUCAGUGUUGUAGUCUUGACUUGAGGAUCUUUUAACAGAUCUGCUGGAAUCCUUUUAUCAGCUUCAAACUGCUUGAAAAAUAAUUUAAAGGAACCUUGACUUGUCGGUCCUUACAUUUUGAAUUUUCUACCAUAUUUAACAUUUUGGUUCAGUUCAUGAACACAAACUUAUAAAGCUGAUGCAAGAGAUCUAGAGAGCUCAAUGAACACUCAUUACUGUGAGCAGGUGUCCAUCACUCCAUUUAAUGCACUGUUUUGGUGGUCUUGGCAGCAUUUUGCUUGAGGAAAGAAUUAGAAGGGCCGUUGUGGGGUUAGUGAGCAUCUUGCAUUAUUUGUGUUACCACAUAAGUGCCACACACAAUUAACAAAACAAUGUCGCUCCAAAUUCAAUAAGUUUAGCACUCAAAUUAUAGUGUUUCAUUCAUUGAAGACCGUUCAUGGCAAGAAAGAGGCGAAGUUGUUCAUGUGAUGUAUUCUUUGUGGACUAGACACAUACAACUCACAAACUUCAUAAAAAUGAGAUCCUUGAAACUAGGCCACUUAAGAGUUGCAGAAACUGGCUGUACAGCAAAGCAAUAAGUACAGUAGUACUUGUGAUGAAAAUGCGCACAGCUGCAUGGACUAUGUCUAACUGUUUAAAACAUGUUAGAUAUGACUUUGAAAUCAUCCUGAUAAUUGUUUCAUUCACAUAUUUUAACAGGUGAAGGCUGAGGUCUCUAAUUGUGGGAAAGGGUUUGUGACUUCAGUUUUUUAGGACCAGAUAUCUCUUUUGAAAUUCCAAAAACCAGCAUGACUUCCCUUGGCUAAAAUUGCCUAGCUAGCUUUUAACAAGGCAUCAUUUGACCAGUACAUACAAUAGCACACAUUCUAAUUUGAGGUAAGGGAGCAUGAGGUUUGGAGGACUCUGAAAUUCUCCUUGUGACAGAAGUAUACAAGCCUACAAGAAAUGUAUGGUGUGGAGAUUGUUUUUCUGUGGCCAUUCUUGAAAGCAUGAAGUGUGAGGUGCUGUUGUCAUUCGGCUUUCGAAGUGACCCAUUUGGGGCACUCGUUCUGACAGCACUCAACCAUUUGAAGACAGAUGUGGCAUCGCACAAAAUAAAAGGAACAGCAUAAAGACAUGACUUGGGAAGAAUGACACUGUGCAGUGCUGGGUAACAGCCAUUUGCUUUACAUUGUAACUCUCUUCUAGAUGAACAUCAGAGGCCUUAAAAAUCUUACAAGCUUAACAGAAGCACAUUUAAUGUACGGGAGAUGAAAUAGAUAAACCCAGAAUCAUUCAGCCAAUCAGGAAUUUCAACUAAUGGAGAGUUUGUCUUAAAUUAUUAUAUCAAUGUUUCCUGAAUGUGCACACUGGCACAGUUUCUGUAUUCACCUACUUGGUUCUGAGUAAGUGAAUGCAGAAGUAUGUGAAUCAGCACAGGCAAGCCUCAACACAAUGAACAUUGAUACAAAUAUUUAUCGAACACACUGAAAUAUAACUAUAAAAUCUUGUUGGCCGCAUUCCACUCCAGCAAGUGUUCUAUCAUUGCAACUUAAUUGAAAACACAGUGCUCAACACAGUACCGGUUACAACAAAACACAUUAUGCUUCUACUUAACAAAGCCUGUGUAAGCUGGCAGCAAAAAGGUUAAAUAUAUUUGCAAAAGUGACUCACAAGUGUAGGAUUUCACACAUCUGAUGCAACUAAGUGCAAGUCUUUGGGUGCUUAUGCCUCGCACCAACAGCAAACAGAGGUCAUCUCAAGAAAAAGAGCAAUCCUUUAUUGUACAAUUUCGGCUACCUGCAGUACUGUAGGCGGAAGCAGCUCUUGAGCCGAAUUUCGCAUCUGCUUUUAUAAUUAAUAUUGGGCAUAACGAACAAAACUUUCCCCCAAUUCAGACCUAAAGGGAAACACAACCUCAAACCCCGGAUAUCAAGAUUAGACCAGUUCACCUGCGAAUAAAUUAAAACCUGGAUAAAUCAAAACCUCAAUUUUCUUUAUACAAAAAAAUGACCGCAGUCAAACCCUGAUAGAACAAAUUAGUAUUCUCUAAUCGUACGCAUGAUGCUCACUGACCAAUACUCACGUAAAUUAACUGCCUCAUAACAAAGUGAACAUUAGAUAUAUCGAACUAGUGGCAUCGGCUACCAGGUGAAGAGCCACCUCGCCCGACACUUCAGGAUGUCUUUUGCGUUGGAUGCACUGCCCUGGUACUGUGCAGACAUUGAGAGAAGUGGACUAGAGUGGGUCUUCAUAAUCUCGUGCAUUGAGAAUGCCAUUUUUAAUGUUGCUGAGGAUCACUUUAAGGCAGAGUGAAUGAGUGAAUGAACUUUAUUUUAGAGAUCAAGCUCUUGGUUCCCAGAGGUGGGCGGCCACCCUAUUCCAAGUAGCCGUGACCCUGUGCUGACAGGCUAGCCCUGUUCAUCAGUCGUAGCUGGUCCUUAGGACUUGGGCUUGUCAGCUGGAAGGCCCACUGGUCUUCUGCUGAUGCUUGGAUGGGCAUUGUCUGUGGGUUCUUGUUGCAUUCCCAGAUUAUGUGGUAGAGGGUGUUUGGCAUAUUGCAGAAUUUGCAGUCUCUUGUAUACUUUGAGGGAUACAUUGCGUGCAGUAGAACGCCAUGAAGGUAAUUCGCAGAAAAAAAAUUACAGCAUGCUGCGCGUUGUUUUGUUUUCAGUAAAUUUAUUCCUUCCUGGCUUAUUUUUUCCACUGGAGCUAACUAUUCCACAUAAUCAAUGCACCACAAAAGUUGGUUUAAGGUUUUAUAGGCAAGUUUGGGUAUAUUGAAUCUCCUGAUAUAUCGAACUAUUUUUUUGCACACACGCACGUUCAAUAUAACUAGGUUCGACUGCAUUUACAACCUGUGUCUAUGUGCCCCUUCUGGAAACCAAGUAUCCGACUCUUAGUUGACACAGGCUAUCUACCAUGUUCACUCUAUUGCUUUGUUACCCUUCAUUUCUCAGCAAGACACGAUACCAACCAGCUUAGCUUGGCACCUUGCAGAAGCAGCACAGCUUUGUUGGUUGCUUCUCUUCAGUACAACUAUUGUCUUGUCACUGUUAUUUCAUUGAAUCGCUAAAGAAAAAAAGCCCAGAAAUUAUAAUUUGUACAUUCGGUUUCCGUUUACAUUUAUUCCUCAUAAGCACAAACAUUUGCAAGUAUGGUUUCGUAGUAUUAAAUCAGUGGGUAUAAAAAAUUUGCAGCAAUAGUUUCAUUUAUAAUUCAUGAUUUUUUUUAUGGCUAGUAGAGCCAUUAAAAUAAGAGAAAUUCGGUUUUUCCAGGUUUCGUUUUAUUAGGAGGUCCUCCUCAGUAGUUUUACUGUUCAUGUUAUUUACGUUUUACUGCGGUAUUGCCGGAAAAAUUGGUAAAAGAAUGUUCCUGAUCUUGCACACUAAUUUUCUUUUAACUCUAAAUGCAAACCUUAGGAGUCGCCAAGUACUUAGCACAAGCAUAAAUUGUUAUGUCAUGGCUGAUAAAUUUAGAACAGAUAAGCUACGGCUGCAGCUGCUGCAAUGAUUCUACACAAGUCAAAUGAGUCUGCUGCAAUCACGUUAACUUCCAAGGCUGUCUUUUCACCAAGUUUCUGGAGGCAUGUUUGCUUUCUUGGUACAUCACUCAAGCUCUACUUGCUCCCACGACUACAGGUUGUUCUUUUAUUACACUGACCAACUUGGCAGCGUGUUAGGCCUCAUUAUUGAAGCACAGUUAGUGAUCGCUCUGUUAGAUUCAGAGUUUUGUAUAGAGUACUUCAACCUAUUCAUCCUGACAACUACAAAUACUAACCUUCUCAGCUACAUAUUUAACGCUGUCACCAGUGAGGGCAUCUGUAAGAAAUUAAGAUUGCUAAGCACUUGCAGACUUUUCUGAGAGAAAAACUUGCCCAUGCAUCGCUCCUACCUGUUUCAUAUUACACUGGACCACACCGUACAUAAUGUUCGUGCAUCUCACUGACCAUUACACUGCAAGUGUCUUUGGUAGUUUCCGUUUGCUUUCUUGCACAAAAUUGAUAUGGAAGUGUGGCUGUGUUUCUGCCUUUCAUGGACAGUCUUGGUGAAACUACGAAAUCUUUGUUUUUUCAUAUGAUGUUGCCCAAUAGCUUGAGCUAUAGGGCUCUUAUCUGCUGUCUGUUAUUAUGAGCAUGUCAGCUGUAUAUCAGUUACUGUGUAAUCACACGAGGUGUUGACUUGAGUGUCAGUAGUUUUGCAAUUGUUAUUGGCUUCACAACAUGCAAGGUCUUUCAAUUAUCGAAGCUGGUGUCCCAUCUCAUCACAGCAGGAGUUCACAGCUGUGCAAUCUAGGCCUUUGCAAGUGUUGAGCACUUCUGAUUUGGUGUUGGUCCCUUAAAUGCCUCUGUGAGCACGUUUGCCUAAUGUAGUCUGCUAGGCUUGGUUUAUCGCAUGGUUUUUUGUGCAAUUGUCUUCAUGUUGUGUUGCGCUCUCUUUUCCAUUUUUUACAUUAGUUAGCCCCUAUAUGUUCCUAAUUUACUAUCAGCACAAAAUUCAAAUGUGAACAAGUCAGAAACAACUCCAAUGCUUUGUCUGUUUCCGAGUUUACCUGCAUUUGUAACAAUGGCUUACUUUGGACUCCAAAAUGUACACUUGGGACUACUACAUGCUUAGAAACCAGCUACAGAGUGAUCACACAUCACACUUCCAUGUAAUUAAGCAUAACAUGCAUUCUGAUAAGUUAUUUCCUGUUAGUGUUUCAAUUUAUAUGGAAGGUACAUAUUGGCAGAUCAACCCAUGCACUUCCCCCAUGCAGCAAUUUUCUGUUUUCAACCAGUGCUGUUCUUUCCAGCCCUUACCCUACCACACACAUGCACAAAAAAAAUAUCUAUAUCGCUGGCCAUUUCUUGCACGCUGCUGGCAUUGCAGCUAAUGCCCCACCAUAAUGAGUAGGACUCGUUCACUGUACAAUAACAGCUGAGAUAAAUUUUGUUGUCCUCUUGCACAUAGAAAAACAUUGCAUUACUUGUAACUAUACUCCCAUGGCAUGUUACAUGGCAGUUCUUAUGCUCAGAGCAACGAAGACUAUUUUUACACGAGGAGUGCUAAUGCAGCAGUAAAUUUAGCGCCACAAUUUUAUACCCCAGGAGCUAGUGUCACAGAGAUAGCACUGCUACGCGGCUUCCAUUUUUGGUCGGCUUAGCCUGCCGUUUUACUGCCGCCAAGCCAGUGCACAUGCAUCCCUUAAUAAUUAGGUCUUGCUUGCAGUGUAGAUUCUGGAAUGUGUGUGCCUGUUUUCGCAGUGUCAAGUGGUUGUGAGCACAAGCAGCUGCUAUUGCUACUGGUAUGCAAGUUGCGCCAAGUUGCUGUCUUGAAAGAUGUUAAGUGUUACCUUACUUUCCAUACAGACCACAGAGUGAGACCAUUGCUGAAGCCACUAAUCAUAGGCAAUUAACAUAAAUGUUCAGGUACAGAUUCUUAAAUUUCAUUGCUUGGUCAAGAGAAAUAGUUGCACCUAAUGCAAAUGUUGCCUUCGUUUUUUUUUUAAUGUGAUAGUCUGCAUGAGCUAUAAUUCUCUAGUGGUCAGUUGUGGCUAGUAGGUCCUGCCUGUAUGUUGCCAUGGCAACCAACAUGCUGUUGAAACUUGUCACCAUGCUCUUUAGGCAGAGAGAAGACUGUUUUUGGAAUGUUUCAUGUAGUUGGUUAACCAUAUAGAGUGUUAAUCUACAGCUUCCAGUGUACAGCAGGGACAUGAUCCAAAUGUGCAUCUUGUGCUUGGGUAAGAGCCACAUACUAUUGUCAACAAAAUCAAUGCAAGCACCGACUUUGUCAGUAAGCUUAGAGUCCCAUUAAAACUUUUGUUAAAGAAAUGGUAAAGACAUAUGUGGGCUAUUAUAACCUGUUCACAUUACUUGUGGGGUAUGGCGAUACAUCUGCAAUUAAGUCUUCAUUCUUUUUUAUAUAGAACCCAAGAAAUGGCUGCAGCAGAUGAUAGUGCAAGGAUUUUAAAAUGAUUGGUGGCUCAUAUUUUCUAUGAUUGGCAACUGAGGUAACAUUAGGCUUUCCCCUUACUGUUUAGCCAUGAUAAAGGCAAUCAUUAUGGACUCAUGUACAUACUUGUAAAACCUGCAGGUGAGAAGCAAUAAUGUGUUGCAGUGGGUAUUGUGGUGCUGUGUUUAUAUGUUCCCAUUUCAUGGCCAUAGCUGUGUGAAACUGUGCUAUCUCCACAAUGACAGUAAUUUGAGGCGCCUUGUUUUCACUGUUUGGUGUAGUGACAGCUGAUGUUUGAGUGACCACAUUUGAGGCCAAUCGCUAUACUGUAGUGCUUGGCUAGCUCUGUAAUUUUGUGUUACCGCGUAAUGUUUUUCAUAUAGUUCCGACUUGUUGGGUCAUAUUUGCACUUGCCAGUGCUCUUUCAUGUGAUACAGACUGCUCUUGCGUUGAAACAAGUGUUUUGCUAAAGACUGUUAUAGUGUGAAGCAUUGUUUUCCUAGAGCCCUAUGAUGUGUAUAUUCUUGCUUAGUCAUCACACCAUCUGCCCUAUAACAAAGGUGGUUGCCAAAUACUGUGCAUGUGCGGUAAUGCCUUCAAUUUGAUUACAAACGUCUGUGAUUGUUGCCAUUGCUUUUUUCAUAUCUUUUUUUUUUAACAUUGUGUGGCUUCUAUUCCUUCUUUUUUGAAUGCAUUGUAACCUCAUGACAUUCAUGUGUUGCUUUCCCCUGUCAGUAACAAACUAGAUGUCUUUCCUCCAGUGGUUUAACCUCAAUGCCUCUAUCCACGUGUUUAUGUUAUGUUCUUAUAGCUAUCAAAGUGAGAAUUUGCAAGAUAUGGGAGUUAUCUGGACCCAGUGCCUAUGUGUGUGCACAAACACCAUUGAAGAAUUGAAAGGUUUAAAGUGUGAGGUGAAUAUAUGUGAAAUGGUUAAUGACCAGCUUAAGUCUGGAAUGAUUACAUAUGUGCAUCAAAUGACUUAUUGGUUCUCAGAUGUUUAAACUCAACCACUCUUCAGAGAAGGCACGAUAGGGUGUGUAGGUUUAUUGAGUUGUGUUUUGUUUUCUGCUUAGGCUUAGGAUACAGAGGCAUCACAGCAGCCCACACUUGUUGAAACUGACAGUCUGCUUGUCUCUGCCUUCAUUUUCGAAACGCUGUCCCUACAAUGGGCAGUUGCUUUGCAGAUGCAUUUCCAAAAAUGAACUAUACUGAAUACACAGGCGGAGUUUCGCUCGUUAAAGUCAUGAUCCAAAACUGCUGAAAUGUUCCUUGUGCAAAUGAUUUCAUAAAUUUUUCAUUAGAAAAUUAUGUUGAAUGUACGCAAAAUUAGGUUCAUAAUAAAUGUGUGGAAUGGAUGAAAUUGUUAUCGGACUGAAUAACGAAAUGUUUCAGUAGGAAAGCCAUGGCAGAGGGCGCUAUUUAUGCUCUCCUUCCCGGUGCAUAGCAUUACAAACUGAUUAUAUUUGCCAGUUGUAUAGCCAAAGUUGCACCUUUCUUAGUCUUUUGUUCCUGCUUGAUUACAUUUGUCUACUAUAUGGAUGUAGGCAUUCUUGUAGCUGUGAUCAUGGAAGUUGCUGUGCUGGACCAUGGUGACAAUGAAUGCGUUGCGAAGUGUGUGAUGAAACCAGCUUAUCCGAGAAUAGGUCUGGUAUUUUCUGUUGUAUUUGUACGUAUAGCACUUCUACAUCAGUCUUUGGUGAAGUGUUGCAUUAAACAUUCGUUGAAUCGCAUU